UGACAUGUGCUUUUGUUUAAUCCUCACAAC
rnacentral:piRNA from 1 species